rnacentral:rRNA from 1 species
GACGAACGCUGGCGGCGUGCUUAACACAUGCAAGUCGAACGGAAAGGCCCUGCUUUUGUGGGGUGCUCGAGUGGCGAACGGGUGAGUAACACGUGUGUAACCUGCCCUUGACUUUGGGAUAACUUCAGGAAAAUGGGGCUAAUACCGGAUAGGAGAUCUUGAUGCACGGUGGGGGUUGGAAAGUUUCGGCGGUUGGGGAUGGACUCGCGGCUUAUCAGCUUGUUGGUGGGGUAGUGGCUUACCAAGGCUGUGACGGGUAGCCGGCCUGAGAGGGUGACCGGCCACAUGAGGACUGAGAUACGGCCCAGUCUGCUACGGGAGGCAGCAGUGGGGAAUAUUGCACAACGGGCCGAAGCCAGAUGCAGCAACGCCGCGUGCGGGAUGACGUCUUUCGGGUUGUAAACCGCUGUCGCCUGAAACGAAGCGUGAGUGACGGUAAUGGGUAAAGAAGCACCGGCUAACUACGUG